GGUUAGGUUAACCUGUGGAGAUAAGGGGAUCAAGGAUUUGGUGGAACACAUUUGGCAGAAUCAUCUUAAAAAUACAGUUGGUAAAGUUUCUAGUAAAGACCACGAUAAGGUAUUGUUAUAAAUAGAUAUCUGACUAGUAGUUUCAAGACUCUGAUGCCUUAGCGUAGGCAAUACUAGAGUGAGAGCACAAGCAGGCAGAGUGGUAGGCAGAGGGAGAGGG